rnacentral:lncRNA from 1 species
UUGACCUCAUAGUUAAAACCUGGUAAUGUGGUUCACUCAUAAAUCAACUGUUUUUCCUUGCAGAAAACUCAAACAUAAGUCUAAGGAUGGUCUGUCUACCAUGAGCUCAUCUAAUCCACUCCAACGAGCAAAGAAAAAACACUGUUGUGUGUUUUUUCCAUCCAGCUCAGGAGAGAUGAUUCAUGCAUUGAUCAAGAAAGAAACAACCAUCCAUCAAGCUCCCUGGUUCCACAACGUAGGACAAGACACAGAGGUUUCCCACCCAGAGGAGGAAAUUUUAGUGUACAUUGACUGCUGUCAGUUGAUAAGCAAUUGUUCUUUCAUCCUCAAAAGAGAAAAAAAAAAUCUGUAGCUAUUAAUUAGUGUAUGGCAAGAUUGAUUAAGCAAUGCAGUGUCAAUUAACACAUUUAAUGUGGAGGAAGAUGAUAUCCA